rnacentral:rRNA from 1 species
AUUGAACGCUGGCGGCAGGCCUAACACAUGCAAGUCGAACGGCAACAGGAAGAAGCUUGCCUCUUGGCGGAUGAGGGGCGGGCGGGUGAGAAAUGUCAGCAAGACUGCCUGAUGGGGGGGGAUAACUACUGGAAACGGUAGUAAAUACUGCAUAACGUCGCAAGACCAAAGGGGGGGACCUUCCGGCCUCUUGCCAGCGGGUGUGCCCAGAUGGGAUUAGCUAGUAGGUGGGGUAACGGCCCACCAAGGCGACGAUCGCUAGCUGGUCUGAGAGGAUGACCAGCCACACUGGAACUGAGACACGGUCCAGACUCCUACGGGAGGCAGCAGUGGGGAAUAUUGGACAAUGGGCGCAAGCCUGAUGCAGCCAUGCCGCGUGUGUGAAGAAGGCCUUCGGGUUGUAAAGUACUUUUGGCGGGGAAGAAGGGAGUGACGUUAAUACCUUUGCUCAUUGACGUUACCCGAAGAAGAAGCACCGGCUAACUACGUG